UUACAGGAACAGAUUAUGUUUAUCUGCUGUAGAGUGACUGAUGAAGGAAUGCUGCCAUCAAAGGAUUUGUAUCUUUUGUGGUGGAGCAGGACCUGCAAGGAAAGGGGAAAAAAGGAAAUACCUGAAACAAAAGAAUAAAGUAAUGACUUUUUGUAUUGUGUGUGUGUGUUCCACUGCAGCAUCCGGAAAUGGUCCAGAGAUAUGGAUGAGAUGCUCCAUCACUCCAGCUCUCACUGUCUCAUCAGGACCAGAUGCUGCUGUGGUCUCUUCCUCAUCGGUGGCCCCAGAGCAGCGAGAGCAUAUAGAGAAAGACCAAAAGACACCGAGGAUUUGAUUUUGGUAAAGUUUGUUCUGCUGGUUUCUGUUUAUACAAUGAAGGCUGACUUUCAGAAGCUUCAAAAGCAUCAUCAAAAAAUGUGAUGGAGCUUUUAUCUGAAGUCAUUGACAGUGCUCUUAUUACAGGGGCCUACAAUCCUCUGAUCCACCUGGAGAAAAGAGCCGUGCUCACAGACAUACUGGUGGUUUUGAACCAGUUCAGUGGUUUAGCCCACUACAAAAAUAAUAAAU